GAUCUGGCUCAGGACGAACGCUGGCGGCGUGCCUAACACAUGCAAGUUGAACGGAACUUUUUUGAAAGAUUUCUUCGGAAUGAAUUUGAUUAAGUUUAGUGGCGGACGGGUGAGUAACGCGUGAGUAACCUGCCUCUAAGAGGGGAAUAACAUUCUGAAAAGAAUGCUAAUACCGCAUAAUAUAUGUUUAUCGCAUGGUAGAUAUAUCAAAGAUUUAUCGCUUAGAGAUGGACUCGCGUCCGA
rnacentral:rRNA from 1 species